UACAGUGAAGAAUGAGAUGGUUUUAGGUUGCUGAUGAGAGGAAGAUUUGAAUGUAAUAAUAAGUGAACACAGUUAAAUAUAUGUAAUCCCAUAACAAGUAGGGCUGGGCAGUACGGUUUAAGAAUAAAUUACAUUCUGUAUACACUUCCUUAGAAAUAUUAGAAAAAUAAGUGUUAAACUCUGCUUUCUGGUGCAUUUAGACUGCAAUUUUGGCCACUGUUUGUUUCUUUUGUCCAUCUGAAAAUUAACAUAGUUCCAGCUGUUGUUGUAAGUGAAUUAUUUCUUUUUUCAUUCUGUCAGAAACAAGCAGAUUUUUCUGAUUGUUGGUCAGCAUUGUUGGCUGAUGUAGUUUAAAAUAUUCUGAUGAGUCAGAUCAAUUCAGACUGAAUAUUCACAGCUUUAGUCUUGUAUUAAAUCUGUUUACACAUCUCUACCCAUAGGAAUAAGAUAAUAUAUCCUACAUUCAUAUUAUUAAAAUAUAUCCUACAUUCAUAUUAUUAAAUAAAAAUAAAACACUACUGACACAUAAACAGCUUUUUUAUAAUUAAAACGUCCACGUUGGCCGGUAAUCACCUGGAUCCGGCUAAUGGGGAGUAACUAAGUAAGUAAAAGUUUAUAGAGCACCUUUCACAGAUAUAAAUCACAAAGCGCUGUACAGCAUGAUAAAGAUCAGGGCAAAUACCUCUAACCAAUAAAAACAUCAGAAAAACAAUAGCAGUGAUAAAGUAGAAAAUAAAAUCAUGAGUAUAAACAAAGUGAAGGUGUGAACCCGAACAAAGCCAUCAUUCUGAAACAUUUAGGGAGGGAACGCCUGGAUGAAAAGGUGAGUUUUUAGAUGAUUUUUAAAGACCUCUACAGUGUUAGAGAGACGGAGAUUUGAAGGUAGACUGUUCCAAAGUCUGGGUGCAAUAGUCUGAAAGGCCCUGUCCCCUUUGGUUUUCAGUCUGGUUCGAGGAACAGCCAGGAGGUUUUCAGAUGUGGAUCUAAGGUUCCGAGAGGUGGUGUGUGGGGAUAAAAGCUCAGAUAGGUAGCUUGGAGCCUGGUUGUUAAGAGCUCUAUAGGUCAGGACUAAAACUUUAAACUGUAUUCUAUAUUCUACCGGGAGCCAGUGGAGGGACUGUAAAACUGGAGUGAUGUGAGCUUGUCUGCUGGAUUUAGUUAGGAGUCUGGCUGCUGCAUUUUGGAUGGCUUGAAGGCGUGAGAGGGAGGUUUUGCUGUGACCAGUAAAAAGAGCGUUACAGUAGUCUAAGCAUGAUGACACAAAGGCAUGGAUGAUUUUUUUCCAGAUCUGCAGUAGAAACCAGUUUACGGACUUUUGAAAUGUUUCUCAGUUGAAAGAAACAAGAGCGGGAGAUGGUUUUGACGUGUGAGUCUAAACUUAAAGCUGGAUCAAAAAUAACUCCUAGGUUUCUAAUGUUGGCCUUGGCUGAUGGGCAAAAAGAGACAAUUUCUUGCUCGAUUUUUGGCUGAUGUUCCGGGGGUGCAGAGAUCAGGGCCUCUGUCUUGUUAGCAUUUAAGACAAGAAAGUUGCUGGACAGCCAGUUACUGAUCUGGGUCAGGCAGAGUACAAGUGUGGCCAGCCUGUCCAACUGGUGUGGCAUAAAGGACAUAUAGAGCUGAAUAUCAUCAGCGUAGAUGUGGUAGGAGAUGUCUGGGAAAGACUGAAUGAUGCCAGCUAGGGGAAGAAUAUAGAAUGCAAAUAGUAGAUGCCCUAGGACUGAACCUUGUGGGACCCCGCAUGUUAGAGAGGCAGUAUCUGAAGAGAAGGUUUCGGACUUCACUGUGAAUGUUCUGUUGUUGAGAUAAAAAGAGAGCCAGUCUAGAGCAGAACCUGAAAUCCCAGCCAGGGCCUUUAACCUGUUUAGUAGAACGUUGUGGUCUACAGUGUCAAAAGGAGCCUAAGUUUCCUCCCCUUCUGGCUGGCUCAUGGGUCCCCGAUCAAAAAAAAAAAAAAAAAAAACAAAAAAAAAAAAACAGAAUGUUAGUGAACUGGGCUAUAAAAGUUAUUUUCUUGUCUUUCUGGGCUUUGCCUUACGCCCUGAGUCUCAUCUGUCAGACUUUUCUAAUCCUAGAGUUUCACCGUCUAUCAGAUUUUCUAUCAGAAGCUAAAGCAGGAGAUAGCGGCAGGAGACUAUGUUCAUGUUCAGCUUGCAUGAAACACUCAGUGACACGUUAGAAUCAGAAAUAAUCAUUUAAUGUAUUUUUUUCCAGUGAAGUUGAACUACGGUAUAUAUUGACCUACAACAGAUUUGUUAGAUUUCCAAAAUGUGUCCCCCCCAAUAUUAAACUCGUUCCUUCAUGCUUGUUUUACUUCCAGCUCGAUCUGGUUUCAGCUGAUGAAAAAUGUUCAGAGAACGAGAGAUCAGUAUCUCAAGUUUUAGAGUCAGUUCAGUGUCUGUAAACAGCUAAUUAUAACAAACUCUUAAAGCUUUAAUCUACAUCUUCUAUUAAAGAUAUUUUAGAUAUUCCUAACAGCUAGGGUUGUCACGAUACUAAAAUUUCAAACUUGAUUCGAUACUUGAAAAAAAAACUUGGUACUCGAUACUCGAUUUCGAUACUAUUUAAAAACACCCAUUUAUCGAACAAGUUUAUUGAAAAAAUAACAUUCCUCAAUUUAUAUUGCAAAAAUUAAAUGUUAAGAAUUAAGUGUAUUAAGUGCUUAAACCUUUCAAGUAUCAGCAUUUUUUAAAACGUGCAUACAAAAACUGGUGAAAGUUAACACUUUAAAUCAUGAAUUGUCUCACUAUAUAUACACUAUUUGCAGAGUGAUGUUUUGCUGCUUAAACUCUGUUUAAGGUGCAUUUUUGUCAUAAGAUGUAAUGCCAUAUGUUUUGUUCUGUACUUUUGAACAACUCUGUUGGUUAAUAAAGGGAGAAAACGAAUUUCUCCACAGUAGGACAAAGGUACAUCUACCGGUAAUCUUGAUAAAAACAGACUGGCGCACGGCAGUGACGUCAUUAAAAGCGCUGGUUAGAUUAGCCGCAGCUAGUCUGUUUACGCCUAGAAAUCCCAGACCAGACCCGCUCCAAACGAACAGGGGAAUCAUGUUAAUGAUUCCUAACAAAACCUUUCGACAUGAAGAUGUUUUGGUGCAGAUAAUGUCUUAUUUCGAGGCUGCACCAUGGGUGCCCGUCCGCACCCGUUAUAUGGAUAUACGCUGACGGCGAUUCGGCGAUGGACCUACGGUAAAUACCCCGGGGAAUCCAAGUAGCACCAAAGUUGUCAGCGUGAGUAAACAAACGUACUGCAUGCUAGAAAUUAAGUCCGGGUUGCAAUAAACGGGAGUUUCCUUUAAGCACAUAAGCGUGAAUAUACAACUACGUGUCGGACUUGGUAUGCUAAUUAAGUUGGGCUGUGAAGCGCCUCCCAAAUUCGCUGUUUAUGUUUUUGUUUAUUUAUUUGGCAGACAAAACUUGGAUCGGAGACAACUCGCGUGGGAAAUUGCUAUGUAGCCAUGUGGCGUCUUCUUCUGUUUGUCUGGGAGGCGGAGGCUGCUUUACGGCAUCUGGCUGUCGUGCGUGUCGGUGUACUUGAAGAAGGCUGUGUAUAAUAGUCCAUAAUAUCGAUACCACAGGGAUGGAAUAUCUCAUUUAGAUACUACUUUUAGUAUCAAUUUAUAUCUGGGUAUCGAUUUUUUUGACAACACUACUAACAGCACACUUGGCUCUCAGACAGCAGGUUUACUUGUCAUUCCUAAGAGUUUCUGAAAGUAGAAUGGGAGAAAAUGCUCUCAGUUUUCAGACUCAUCUCUUGAGAAACCAAGUGUCAUCCAUGAGGUAGAGCCAUUACACUUUCAAGACUGGGUUUGCUGACACUUCCUGCAAGUGGAUGGUACCUCCAUCCGUCGGUAUAACGGUGGUUCUCAUCGCCCAGGGCCGGGUGUUUGGGCAUCUGCUGACUCGCUCUCAGUAGAUUAAUUAAUUGAAUCCCAACACCCCUGAAAGUUCUCAAGUUUUUCCGUAGUUAGUGGCACAUUCUAGUUUCAUCCUGACAAGGAAUGUGACUUAGGUUUUUACAUUACAAUACAGACCCACAAAACAAGUUCAGAAAUCAUUUAUACAGAAGUGAAAGACACUCCAAAUAAAAAUGUUUGGUAGAGGGAGGGGGCAUAAUAGUGAGGGUUUCACAGGCCAACAGUUAGAAACUGUUAUUGUGACAUGAGGUACUGUUCUGGAGGACAGUACCCUGAAAUUAGACCCACUUCAGCAGUUCAAAGCAGCUCUGAAAUGUUCAUUAGUUUCCCUUUCUUUUAUUUUCUUGUCUGGGUGAGGUCAUCCGCAGGGUCUGUCUGAAGGUGCCAAGGUGUAAAUGUAACCCCUGCGAAAAUGAUUAAAUUAAUCUAGGGUCAUACUUAAAAACUACAGUCAAUAAAAUGGGAUUAAACCCAUGUAAAGAGCGGGUCAGGCGUGCCUCAAGAGUCCUUCUCCACCCACGUAUCAAUUUAAAAAACUGCAACAUUAGUAGGCGUUGCCUGGUGGACUGAGAGGGCGGAGCUGCAGCAGUGACGAAGACGAUGGGUAACGAGACAAAGCUAGUUCCCUUCACUCUGAGCAGUCAUUAGAAGUGGAGGACGUUUCUCCCCCUCCUUACCCAGACACUCGAGAAGAAAGGAACCAAGUCUAUUUGGAGGAGACAAGCGGACCUGAGCCUUAUUGUUUUGAGCUUGUGAGUUGCCUGAAACUACCGGAACCAACCCAACAGAACCAGCUCUGAAAGGUGAUCCUCUGGUGUCUGCAGCUUGUCUCCUCUGGUGGUGUGGUCAGGAUCAGGAGCUUCCAGAAGAAUGCACCUUUGAGUGACUCUUUCCUCCUCUAAACAGUUAUUUGUUAUAUUAAUUAAAUAAAUCUCAAUGUAUAUAUUUCAUGUUUUUGUUCAUGUCCAUAAAUACUUAAACAUGCUUGAAAUUAAAAUGAGCUUUUAACAGUGAGCUGCUAGUUUAAUUCAUCAUAAUAGAGCUAGUUAAACAUGCAACAAUGUGAUCAUUCAGCUAAUGUAAUUUAUAAAUAUCCAUUAAAAUAUAAAAACUGGAAUCAAAAUGAGACAUUUGGCAGCACAAAAAAAAACUUGUCAAACACAAUAUUUAUUAUAAUAAUUGUAGGCAGACAGGAGACAGAGCUGAUGGAGUUUCUCAGUCAUCGAAGGAUGGCCGAAGGCUUUCCAGGAACAGGAGAUGUGGUGUUGUCUCUUCUCUCUAUUCUGCCAGAUGAGCUGAUAGGUUACAGGUGUGUGAGGACAUCAUGCUGUCAUAACCAGAUGACAUGAGUUAUCAUGUAAUCAGCCAGGCUAAUGAUGAGAUGCAGACAGAAAACAAAUCCAGGACAGUGUACAGUAAUAACGAUAAUAAUAUGUGGUGUUGCUCACCUUAUGUGCUCUUAUAGAGUAUUAACGUGUGCCUGCCUCAUGGUGUAGCAUCCAUAUUUUGCUGAGUGCCCUGCAAUAAUGCAGGUUAUUAGUUAAUUUACUUUUAAUAGCAAAAACCAAAAUAUUUAAUUUACAUGUUGUUUACCAGGUGAGUCAGCUCACACGUCACCAAGUGUAACUGGACCAGAAUCAGUAGUCUCCUUCAUGAUGCCAUGAUGUAAUCUAGCUCCAAGCUUGCAGCAGCAGCACACGUGUAGCAAUAAGCUAUGAAACGAAAACAUAGUUAAUGUUAAAACUCAAAGGCUGUAAUAAAGAUCACAUGAUUAUUAAAAACAACUCACCUUUACUACACAGUCUUGACAGCAGAUUACUUGGGUUCAUUUAGCCUGAAAAAAAAAAGUAUAUAUAUAUAACAUCACAGUGUUGUGGGAGGUAGCUUCCAGAGAUGAUGAGAAACAUGUGGAAAGCAGAGCUAGGAUGGAGCUACAGGUUUUUCUGUUAGAUCGGGAGGCCCUGAGGUAAAAUGGGAUGUUGGUGUGAGUCUGGGAAGAUAUUCUUCAGUGAUGACCUGCCAGGCUGAGACGUAAGGAAAAAAACAGAAAACAGAGUACAAUAUUAUUAUUUAGAAUGUUUUAACCUGGAUCAGCUCAUAGAGCUUGUCCUGUCAUUCAGAUGGAAGCUGCUCAGAAGCUCUCCACCACACCUGGGUCUGUUCAGGAGUGGAGAAGCUGCUCUGGGUGGAAUUCCCAUCGUGGUCCCAGUGUCAGACACACAGCUGCUGGGAGGCUAUGUGAAAUAUAAAGCAACAGCAAAUAUAUUUAUAGUUGUUUUUAACAGCAGCAACACAUGUGUAACAAUAAGCUAAAAUAAGGACAUAAUGUUAAAACUAGAAGGUAAAGAAAGACAGAUGGUUAAAUAAUUCACCUGCAAGGCUCUAGCAUGGACCGGUGCAGGCUGGAGGACUGCAUCCAGCCUGGACCGGUGCAGGCUGGAGGACUGCAUCCGUCUUGGGCAGAUUUAGCUUGAAAAAUAUAAUAACAUCACCUUGUUGUGGGAGUUUAGUAACUUAGAUCAUGUACAAAACAAACUGUCUAAUAUAGGUGCUUUAUAACAUGGCUGGUGAGUGAUCUGACUGCUCUCAGAGCUAACUCAGUGUCCAGAAUCAGACAUGUUCUAAUGAGAUGCGGACUCAGCACCAUUUCAGAACCGGGUCAGCUUUUUAGCAGAAGGAGGAGCUGCUUGUCAGUGCCCCUCCUGCUCAGCAUCAGCACUGAUAUUACUAACUGGUACAAAAACUCAACCCAAACCAGUCUGUGAAAUUAUAACACACACAACACUCACUUCGAGCCGGCGGCUAUUGUGGAAAUUAAAAAAUAACCAAAAUUAAAUAAAUGAAUGAAGUGGUUUUAUCGCAUUUUUCUAAAAACCUCUGCCAAUGACACGUUUUGGACUGAAAGCAACUAUUGGACCAUGCGGUUGUUGGUAGCGCUGAACCGCCACACUUCCUCAGGUCCUCCGUCACGCACAAGCGUGUUUUGCUAAAGAAUAUUACUGGUGUGAGAGGGUUCUUCAGUCAAUAAUAUGGGGUUGGGGCAGGGGGUGUUUUCUGACCAUGUUUGCAUUCAAAAUCUAGCUUGUUUGCAGAUUUGCUAUAGGGAGACUGGUCGGCUCAUGGGUCACUAGAAGAACGAAAAAAUAAAUGCAAGUCACUAGGGCUAAAAGAUCUGUUUUCCAAUCCGCUUUGCCUUGCUCCCUGGAUUGCACCGUCACCACAGAAUCUCCUCUCCUCUAGCUGCUACUUACCACAUGGCCAGAUUUACGGUGGUUCUUUCCUUUUCCUGUUUUGUCAUCAACAGUUAUUGAGUCAUCUUUUGGGUUUUUUUCCUGACCCACUCACAAAAGGAAGCAGGUAACUCUAUCACUUUAUUUACAACAUAGAGUCAGAACCAAAUCAGUAAAGAAACUAAAAAAAAGAGUCUCGAGCAAGGAAAUGUGGUUGAAUUAGGGGAGAGUGAAUUUACAGUUUCCAAUGAGUUGCUUUUAGGAUACGUCUUAUCCAGCGAGAGACAUGGUGAGAGCAUAACUUAGGCUGAGAGGAUGAGAAUGGGUGGGCAGAUGAAGAUCUGGUGAGGCGAGCAGAACUGAAAGCAGUCAUGGUAUGGCUGACAUGUUUCCAGGUAGUAGUGGUAGUAGCAGUGGUUUGUGAACUGGAGCUUGAUAGAGCUCUGAAGUUGUUUGAAACUGGUACACAAAAAUAAUGUAACCAAAUCAGUUAUUCGCAGAUGACAAGAACUAAGAAUACUUGAGAGGUGGCCGGUAAAUACCUGACAGGGUUAAUCAUCUGGCAAUGAUUGAUGCUGGUUGCAUCUAAUAUUCUUCAGGUCUGAUCAGUAGACUGAAGUCAGCUGUAACCGCAGCUCUGGAAAGGGAACGUCUCCCUGCGCACACCUGCAUCAUGACACAUGUUGGUCUGUUAAUGGUUAUUGACACAUACUGAUUACUUAUGUUGUUCAGUUUGGUGAUGAAUAUUUACUUGUAUGCAUAGUUUUGUUACUUUCAGACAUUGACUCAACUCUUUUGCUAAUAGCAAGAGUUUAUUUAUUCUGCUCUACUUUAUUUAGCACUGAUCAACUGAAUAAAGCUAAUCUAAAUAGUGAACAAAACAUUUGUACAGUGUAACACGUUAAAGGACCAGGUGUCCUGACUGCAACUUCACAGACAGUGAGCUAUCAGAAGUAGUUUCGACUGUGGAGCCUGAGUGUGUGAAUAAAACACAGAAACCCAAAAUAGAGCUCCAAAAAUAUAUAUAUUAUGCAUGGUAUGAAAAAUAUAUAGACAGAUGUACAAAAGCUAUAACCACAUACAACACAGACAACACAGAAGUUAUUGUUGUUACAACAGCUAUUUAUGCUGCUGAACAGUCUUGGCUGGGGACCUGUGGUUUGGCACACUGACCUCUGCAUGUAUUACUUUACGUCAUUCAGUAUACAUAGAACUGGUUUUCAUCUGCCAAUGACUGUUAAAGCAUGGCUGCAGCUAUCAAAUAUUUUAGUAUUCAAAUAUUCUAUCGGAUCCUCUAAUGAUUAAUCAAAUAUUCUAUUUGACGACAUUUCAAGUGAAUCGAGAUUGUGGUCUGCUGCUAAAAGUAUGAAAAAAGCAACAAAAUUAUAAAAGGAUCAACAAUUUGUAUAAAAUUGGUGCCGUCUAGUUCCCUUUUCCCCAGCUGAUAAUCUAUAGGUAAUAUUUUAUGGAAGUAAAUUGACAUAUAUUUCAUUAAUAUUUGGUUAAAUAUCACUCAUCCUAGUCUAAACAUAUCUUAAUAAGUAGGGCUGUAGCGAAGCCUCGACUACGUCGACGGCUCGAUUCUAAAAAUUUGUCGACGUCAGAUCCGGAAGUCGACGCACCGCGCCCACUUGUUGCAUCCCCAGGAGUUUGUAAAUAGAGGAGGAAUCUGCCUGUUUUUCCUCUAGUUCGCCCUCUUCUCCGCCUUCACUAACAUCUCCGCCAAAUACCGAAGACCCGGAACAACGUCCGUCCACUACUAGAUUAUUUUCCUGUUUUGCCCGCCUUCGUCUCCCGGCAACGGACAACAACUUCCGGGGUCAGAUGCGCUGCUUCGUGCCUACCGCAGAUGUAGAAAAUCACCGGGAGCGCUUCUCCCUUCAUUAAGGAGCUUCUUUCAGACAUGAGGAGAGCUGUUUUGGUGGUAGCAGUCUCUCCUCCAUGCUGGUCUGUUUGCUGCUGGGUGUUUUUGGUUUAUUUAAACUUGGUAACUUGAACUUAACGUUGGUAAAGCUACUGUUAGCAUCUUCGCUAACAGCUUCUUGCGUUGGGAUAAGCUGUUACGUUUUGGUUUAGAGUUCAUCUUUUUUGUGGUGUAGAUCUCCCUUUUAUUACAUUUAGAGUGUUGUGGGUUUUCGGUUUAGUGUAAAAUACCACCUGAGUUUGGUUUAACCCGUAAGACCACUCGCCUCACGCACAUAAGUGACCAAAACAAAGCAGCAUGGAGACACUCCAUCUUCUACCACCUCUCAGGCAGCAGCCUGCACUCCCAAGUUCUACACGUCACCAGAACAUAACCAACCAACACAAUAAACGCAGUGUUAUACAAAAUGGAAGGCCUGUAGUGUUUAUUCUCUUACAGUAAGAAUUUAUCAAUUUUUUUGAGGAAUUUAUUUGAGAUUUUCUGGUUUUUGUUAAUUGUGCAAUAGAAAAAUAAUCAUUAGAUUAAUUUUCUAAAUAGUCAUUAGAAUAGUCGACUAUUCGAUAAAAUAAUCGUCAGAAUAAUCGUUUUAAAAAUAAUCGUUUACCCCCAGCCCUAUUAAUAAGUUCACAUAUGGUCAGUAGAAUUGAAUUAUUUCAUUGACAUGUUCAGUAGUAAGCUACUGGAAAUGCUACCAACAUGCAAUUUCUACAAGUAACAAUGUAAUGGUGGCAUACAUAUUUUAUUAUGUACGGGUUGGCAAUAUAAUCUAAAUUGUAUUCAUAGCUUGCCAUAGCUCUGCUGCAGUGUGUGGAGCAGACUCAGUUCGCUGACUCUCAGUAGCAACAACCUGACUCCAGCUCAGCAGCUGCAGCAGUUCUGCUCCAUACCGCUGCAGCUGCAGACAUCCACACAUUAACGGGACAGUGGGGAUUUUUCUUCCGCCUGUACAGUUUAGUUAUUAGCAGCCAUCACAUUUUUUUCAGAACUCCACUUGAUCGUGAGUGUGCUACAUGCUAGCUUAGCAUUAGCUAAUCUGCCCUUAGUUUAACUCUUGAUCCCAAACUUUGGACCAUUUCUGCCUUUUACAAUAGUUUCUGUCUUUGCUGGUUUCUCUAUUUUCCUCCGCUGCACCUAGAUCACCACAUUGUACACCAGUAAAAUAUGUUCAGACUGUGGUGUGCACAUUUAACGAAGCUUUCAAUCACUAAAAAAAUGAAUCGAGGAAUUUAAUGAUCAUUCUGUGAUUCGUUAAAGCCCUAUGUUUAACCAAUCCAGUUAAAAUGGCUAUCAUACUUCUGACGUCAAUUUAGCCCAACUUCAGCAUUUUAUGUUGUGUCAAAUAUUUGACUCUUGCUUCAUAUCUGUGCUGCCUUUGACCUAAAGCAAAGAUCAAUUGUUCACUGGGACAUUUAUUGUUACACAGUUGGCUUCUUGUAUUGAGAGUGUGCUUAAGCAAAAUCAAUAUUGUUUUAUCAGAGGCUCAAAUGAAAGCAUUAAUCCUGAGGCUGAACUGCGUGAUACAGUGUACUCUAAUGCUACAAAACAAAAGCAUGCUAGUAUUUUUGCAGCAGCUGCUAUGACCUCUUGUGACCUUUAUAGUGUCAACCACCACUAUAAUUCACACUUAAAACAGAUAAAAUGAGUAUAGCAGCUUCAUCUUUUGUAUACAUGCACACACACACUUUGGCAGUUAAAAACAAGAAUGAAAGCCUUUCAUCAUUUUUGCAUACAUAACAAAGUAUCUCUUAAACAAAUGGAUAGAAUGAACAGGGAAAAAAGAUGGUGCACAGUGUUGCAGAGGACAUAAAUGUUGCUUUACAGUAGGGCUUCAACGAUUCGUCGACGUUGUCGCCAGACGUGUUUUUUCUGACCGAGUGAGGCAUCUCACUUCAUUGCAAUCUCUGCCGAGAGUCGCACAUGCGCAAUAGCAUCUCUAACAGCAAUAGCCAACUAACAGAAAUGGCAGUGUCCAAUACAGCCUGGAUUCGGCGAAUCAAAAGUUUACCUGCAUUAUUUGCAAAGCAGUCCUUGCGUAUCACGGCAGCACCUCGGUGAUGCAUGAACACUUAAAGAGAAAGAAGGUUGGACAGUUGAAUGAAACUGAGUCUGACUCACCUCGGUACGAUUUAAAUAACACGAAAACCGAUACGUUUUGUUUUGGAUGUACAUUGUACAUUUUUUAAAUUGAUUUUUGCUUUUAAAAAAGAGAGAUUUAAUGUUAUGCCGGGCUGUGCCUGACUAAAGUAUUUUAAUUUAAUUUAUGCAUUUAUGUCUGUACUGACUUUGUACUGUACUUAAUUGGUGUUUAGACAGGGCAUUUUUAUUUACUUUUAGUAUGAAUUGGCCUAUCAGCAGCAAAGUUCAAUAAAAUAUGCAUUUUCCAUUGAAGUACCCAUCUUUCUUGUGUUUAUCAUUUUUAACACAAUUAAAUCAAUCUCAUGCUAAAUUUAAGAAAAAAAAAUUAUCCGAUUAGUCGACUAAUUGUUUCAAUAGUCGGUGACUAGUCGACUAUUAAAGUAGUCGUUAGUUGCAGCCCUACUUUACAGCCUAUACCGUCUCUGGGUUUAAAGAAAAUGUGGGUUACUCCAGGACAGCUGUUCACAACUUGAGAUCCUUGUCAGCCUAAAGAAGGGGUGGGAGGGUACAAUCUCAGAGCAUUUGCAAGUUCUUCUCAGCAUCUGGUUAUUAAAAAUAAGUUUAACACAACUACAAAAUGCUAACUGUGGGUGGAUGGAUGGAUGGAUGGAUGGAUGGAUGGAUGGAUGGAUGCAGAUCCAGGUGCAACAAAUAUUGCUGCCUUUGACUGGAGGUUUAGUGAGUUGGUUUCUCAUUUUUUUAAUUAAAGGAAUGAGAAAAAAGCAGAGUACAUCAAACACUAAAAAAUGGAGAACAGAAUUGGAAUACAUGCAAAAUGAGGAAUUACAAAGCAUACAUUUCUAGAUGUAGGUGGAGGCUCCAGGUUGCAGGAGCAGCUCUGUUUUUCUGCUUCAGAGCUCACCCAAGCAAUGCUUCAAGGCACUUGGCCACUUAAAACAAUUGAGGCUUUUGAAAAUGUGGUGGUCUGAUGCCUUUAAAGCUUUUCUGUCUCAGGGGAGGUGGUCACAAGAGAUGAUUACUUAAAAAGAGUUGAUAAAGAAGGCCCUAGAGCUGUCAGUCAGCUAGGGCUCCAGCUGUGUGUCUUUGAUGAAGAGAUAACGACCUGAAUGAAAAAAUAAGAUUAAUGUUGUGUGUGUGUGUUAUAUGUAUUGAGUGUGCUUCUUGCAUCUCCAAGAGCUAGGGGUCAGAAGUCCUUGGGGAGGUUUAAGAAUGGGCAAACUUGUUUUCUAGAAAGGCAAAGAGCAACAAAAGAAGAAGGAAAGAAGUUGGAGGGAACAGCAGUAUGGCAUAGCCAGAAGAGUAAUCUCAACGUAUCUCUGAGCUGUCAAUCACAUCACAAAACCCAGUUUGCUCCAAAGUAGGGCUGCAGCUAUCGAAUAUUUUUGUAAUCGAGUACUCUAUUGAAUAUUUGAUCGAUUAGUCGAGUACUCUAAUAAAUUACCCUUUUUUGUUUGUAAACCAUUAUAUCAAAUAGCAUGUUAUAAAAUAUGAAAGACCUCUUAAAAUGAGAAAGCAAUUGCCACUUAUUCUUCAAGAUUUAUUCAAAAUUAGUUUUCAAAACUUCAGCACUUCAACUUUACAGUAAACAAAUGCGAGCGGCUGCGGCCCAAACAGCACCAGAACCGCUCACGGCGCAUGCGCAAACAUGGCUCGCCAGCUAUUUCCCUAUUAACACACGUCCGUUUUAAGUUCUACACUUUUUUUCUCACACAAUAACAAGGAUUGUCGACAGCAUGUUUGCCGUGGUAAUGUCAAAUUAUACUGAUCACACAACAUUUAUUUACUUUCUUUCGUUUUCCUCCGUCACUCUCAUAAAUACCCGUGUCCUCCUGCAGCAAUCCCGAGGGACAACGGACAUCAAUAACAACACAGUAAAAAGUCUGACGUGUUGUAAAAAAUGCUAUUUUUAGCACAUUUUAAGUCCGACGUGUUGCUACCAGACGUACGGUGUGAGCUGAAACUGAGUGCUACAAAUGAAAAAGUCGCACAGUGUCCGCAGAAUAUAUAGAAAUACAGGCUAAAAUGCAUUAUCUUGUAGGGGCUCCGAGUCUGCUUGCAGAAGUGACAUUUACAUGUGGAUGUUUCCUGGUCAGGAGCUGCAGCUUGGAGGAUGUGGUGUUGUGGUAGGCUAAAUCCAUUUUACAGUUUUUAAACUGGACUACGUUUUCCACCUUACGACGUGAAAAAUGGUCCCACACCUUUGACAUUUUGUGUCUUUUUCGCACUCCACCGGGGUCCACGUUGUCCACCAUGGUUAAAGAGAAGUUAAGUUACAUUCGCUACUGGCGUGUGCAUUCAGUGCAGUGUGUAUGUGCGUCACUUAUUUCGGUCCGGGUGAAACAUGACCACGGGUGAUUGCAAAGCCAUGAAUUAAUUAAACAUGAAUUAAAUGAAGCCUCGAGGCAGAGAAUUUGACUCGAGGAUUUCUUGUACUCGAAUUAUUCGAGGUACUCGAGGAAUCGUUUCAGCCCUACUCCAAAGCAAGCUGCUGAGUGAGAAUCAAAAAGGAAACACAGACCACCUUUUUCCUGCAGCAAACAAAUGCUCUCUAAAUUUUCCAGUUAAAAUUGAGUUGAAACAGACCUGUUGAAUAUUUUAGGUGCAGGCUAAAUGAAACAUCUUGUACAGACACGGAUGGAAAAUAUUGGGGAGGACAUUCUGAGUUGCAUGUUAAGACAGUAAUGCUCAGCUGGCUGACGUACCUUUUAUAUUUUUCUCCACCACAGUGUACAGUUUAAAUCAGCCAUGAUCAUGUCAAAAUAUUGUUAUGGCCCAGCAUCCUGUUUUCACUUCAGGGCCUUUUUUUAGAGAGGAGCUCAAAUUAUUCUUAAGAGAGAUGGGAGUGGCUGUUUUAGAGCCACCAGGGACAUUAAUUAAAAUUGGCUUACAGUAAUCUGCAAAAGUUUUAGGUAGGAGUGAAGAAAUGCUGUGAACAAAGAAUGCUUUCAGAAAUAUAAGAAAAUUAGUUAUUUUCACUCAUUUACAAAUUACAAAGUGAGUGAUCGCAAACAUGCAGCAAAAGUCCUUAAGAACUAUCUUCAGCAGAAAGAAGAACAAUAAGUCCUGGAAGUGAUGGUUGGGCCCCACAGAGCCCUGAUCAUGGAGUGUUUCUGGGAAGAGACAGAAAGAUGUGAGGAAGCUUAUAUCCACAGAAGAUCAGUGGUUUGUUUUCUGAGAUAUUAGGAACAACCUACCAGCCCAGUUCCUUUAACAACAGUGUGAAAGUGUAUCUAAAAGAGUUGAUGCUGUUUGGAAGACAAAAGGUGGUCACACCAAAUAUUGAUCUGAUUUAGUUUUCUAUUUUGUUCAUUCUCUGCUUUUUGUUGAUGAUGAAAAAUAACAUUAACACUCAUUCUUGAAAGAAUUACUUGUUUACAGCAUGUUUUCACACCUGCCUAAAACUUUUGUCCAGUGCUGUGUAGAUAAAAUCAAAGUCUCAAGGCUGAUUUAUACUGCUCCGUCAGCUCAAGAGUGGAGUCACUCACAAAAAUUGACAAAGAUGUUUCACUUCAGAUUUCUCUGUCAGCUGGAAGAAAGCAAUUCCCUGCCAGGACAGCAGAGGGCGUAGUUCUAUUUGCAGGUUUCCUGCCACUAAUCACAAGCUUGCAGUCUUUGUCAUUUUCAACAGAAAGUUUAAAAUUUGUGCAGGUCUCCGUCAGCCUCUGUGAGCCCAUUGGAAAGCCCUUACGCAAACGCUUACUGGCGUUGCGUGUCUCCGUACCCAUGCAGAUGGAAAAGUAUAAAUCAGGCUUAAUACAUGCUGUACUGAACCCUAAGACUAAGGAAAAGCUCCAACGCAAAGUGGAAACUCUUCAUAUAAACAGGUAAAAAGCACCCACGGUCUCUCUUUUAAUCCCUCCUGCAUUGUUGGCAUCCCAACCCACCCGCUCCCACCUCUCCGUGCCGUUGUCUGCAGCUCCGCUGUCUCAGAAAAACUAAACACUCCUCUCACUCAGCGCCGAGUUUCCUCAGCUAUUUGCCGACAUUGAAGCCCAGAAACGGAGAUUUUAACCGCUCAGUAAUGUGUUCACGACUGAAAGAGAAAGUUUUCCAACUAACUUCCAGACAGAGCUGAUAUAACUCCAGCGAGCAGCGAUGCGCUCAAAUCAGCAUGACUCUGUGACUGCUGUCGUUUUUAUUUUUCCUCCCUGGCACACAAUGUGGUCAAGCUGCGCAGACGCUCUCCAUGUUCACCAGCACAAACCUAUGAGAGCACCUGUUAUCUAAUGUUGUCAUUAUUAUGAUGAAGAUGAACAAAAUAACAGGAGUCUCCUCCUCAGCUCAACCCCAUGAUGCAGGUAUCUGGCUGGAACAGGUGAGCAUCACAGUAAAUAAGUGGAGCAAACCGAGCUUUGAAUAUUUUGUUUUUAUGCUCUUUUUCUGCUUCAAAACAUGAAAGUUGCAUGUUGCAUUUUCAUUUAAGAUAAAAUUGUAUUUUUAUUUUGUUGUUGGCCCGUGAGAAAAAUUUUAACCUUCAGUAAAACUGGAAAGGCUGCAGAUAGAUGAAUAGAAUAGAAAAUCCUUUUAUUGUUCCUCAGUGGGGAAAGCUAGAUGCCACAGCAGCGCUGACACUUAUUACAGGAGAAAAAAAAAGAAUAAAAAUAAGAAAAAAGAAAAAAACAUAAAUCCUGAAUAGAUUUUAAAAAUGCUGAAUAUACCACAAGUAAUGAAUACCGCUGAUGCGUUUUAUUUAAAAUUGACUUGCUCGUGUGUAAUUUGAUUGAUCCACAUUCAGUGUUAACCCCUUGAUGCAUAAUGGUCACUACAGUGGACAAGUACUCAAAAUUGUUAUUUAUUUGUUUUUGCUAUUAAGGACAGCUGUUGAAGACUUUAUUGCAUUUGAGCCCCUCCAUUUGGACUUCAGUAAGCCAAGCCAUCAUAUUUCAUGUUCUGGAUGCACGCUGUCCAAAUACAAAAAGUAUUUGUUGAAAUUUGUUUCAUCCACACCCAAAGAUGAAUGAAAAAAAUUGUUAAAAAAAUCAUGGUUGAAGAUUUCAUAAUUCAUGCAUCAAAGGGUCAAUGCAAAAAUGAGUUUGUUUCCAAGUUAAAGGUUCAAAAUUGCAUAUAUGUUAAAGAAAAUGUGCAAAUUUGCCGUAACUUUUUCAAAAAAUAUUAAGUUUGGCCCGCGACUUUGUCCCAGAUUUUCAUUUAGGCCCACUGUGAAUUUGAGUUUGACACCCCUGCUUUAAAGUGUCCUAAUUUUCCUGAACACACAUUGUCCCUUACAUGCAGUGAACUAGUACAGGAGGUGAUCAAUCCUCAGAUGUACAGUUUAAUGGGUCCACUCUGCAAACAAGACAGAAAAAGCUGCUUGAGGGUACUUCACAGGGGAGGAUUUGCUAGUGUGCAAGUGGGUUCUUCGAGGUGAUAAUCUUAGGGGUGUUGUCAAAUAGCUGAAUCAAUCAAGUCUGUGUCCUUGUGUCCAGCUUUUUGAACACCUUUUUAUUGAUUGGGCUGGGCCUUUGCCUUAGUCAAAAGCAGGUAGGUAGGGAUUUACUAACUGUUGUAGCGGAAAUCCACAUUUUAUAUCCUCAGAUUAACUUUGUUUGGAUUCACAUGAAGGAGAACAUAACUAUUUUCACAAAGUUUUUCAUCUAACAUUUAGCAGAAGAAAAUCAAAGGGGGAAUUUGAACCUGGCCCGCAGUUUCAGCAUUCUGGUUACCUCAUACGACUCUCUCCCAGGAUCGUAAAUUGCACCAAUUUGACUGGACUCCCUUUUGAUCCAAUCAGGAGGCGCAAGUAAUAUCAGAAAACUGGCCUGUUUUAUAUCAACCUCAGACUGACCCUUUUCUCAAGAUAGGGGAAGUCGUAAAACUUCUUUUAGGUCCUCCUGCAGGGUAUCCAUGGGCCCUUAAAAAGUCUUAAAUUAGCCUUUCCAAAUUUAAGGCCUUAAAAAUCCUUAAAAAUUACAAAUAAUCCUUAAAUACAGUUUCCAAAGGUCUUAAAUUUUCAAAGACCCAAUAAACAAGAGUCUUUUAUUUCUAUAAAAUUUUCAUGAAUUUCUAGUUAGUCUUCAGCAUUUUUUGUGUAUGAUAUUGGCAUAAGCGGAACCGUACACAUUCAGUUGGUUGUGAAAGGGGGCUAUUUUUAGAUGAGCACAUUAGCUGGUUAAACUAGU